GACACUUAACUGACUAAGCCACCCAGGCGCCCCGGGCGUGUUAAUUUUCUAUUUAGUCAUCAAACAAAUAUAUAAAAUGGCCAAAAUGAGUCUCAGAGAGACAUACCAUGGUGUAACACUUCUAUU